rnacentral:rRNA from 1 species
AGAGUUUGAUCCUGGCUCAGAUUGAACGCUGGCGGCAUGCCUAACACAUGCAAGUCGCACGCGAAAGGGGGCAACCCUGAGUAGAGUGGCGGACGGGUGAGUAACGCGUAGGAAUCUACCUCGUAGUGGGGGACAACCCGGUGAAAACCGGGCUAAUACCGCAUACGAUCCAUGGAUGAAAGCAGGGGACCGCAAGGCCUUGCGCUAUGAGAUGAGCCUGCGUCGGAUUAGCUAGUUGGUGAGGUAACGGCUCACCAAGGCGACGAUCCGUAGCUGGUUUGAGAGAACGACCAGCCACACCGGAACUGAGACACGGUCCGGACUCCUACGGGAGGCAGCAGUGGGGAAUAUUGGACAAUGGGGGCAACCCUGAUCCAGCAAUGCCGCGUGUGUGAAGAAGGCCUUCGGGUUGUAAAGCACUUUCGGUGGGGACAAACAAGGCGGAGCUAACAUCUCCGUCCCUGAUGGUACCCAAAGAAGAAGCACCGGCUAACUCUGUGCCAGCAGCCGCGGUAAUACAGAGGGUGCAAGCGUUAAUCGGAAUUACUGG